rnacentral:rRNA from 1 species
CCGUUAACCCACUCAGAGGGGGAGUAACAACUUGGAAACAGGUGCUAAUACCGCAUAACAGUUUAUGCCGCAUGGCAUAAGAGUGAAAGGCGCUUUCGGGUGUCGCUGAUGGAUGGACCCGCGGUGCAUUAGCUAGUUGGUGAGGUAACGGCUCACCAAGGCCACGAUGCAUAGCCGACCUGAGAGGGUGAUCGGCCACACUGGGACUGAGACACGGCCCAG